rnacentral:rRNA from 1 species
AAAAUCUGGAUUAUUAAUAUAGAAGUUUAAUUUUAAUAAUAAAAAAAAUAGUUUUUAUUUAAUUAUCUUAUGAGAAUAAAUUUAUAUAUAUAUAUAUAUAUAUAUAAUAAUAGUAAAUUAGUAUUGUGAAAGAAUUCAUUAAAUUAUUUAAAAGAAGAGAUUAUAUUUCGUACCUUGUGUGUCAGGGUUUAUUAAUUAAAAAUUUAUUAUUAGAAUAUUCUCGAAUUUAAAAGAGCUAUAAUAUAAGUAUAAUUUUUACUGUAGAAAAAGUAUUAAAAAUAUUAUUAUAGAAGUGAAAUGCUAUUCGAUUUUAAAUAUAUCUAGUUUUUUAAGAAAAAAUUUUAAUUUUGUUUUUAUAUUAUUAUAAUACUGUAAUUUUUUACAGAUAUAAUAGUAAAAUUUUAUAUAUUAAGGGAUAAGCUUUAAUUUAAAGUAAUAUAAUUUUUAAAAAUUAAAGGAUUUUUAGUAGGAUUUUAAGUUUCUUUCUAUAAAAGUGUGUUUUUACAUUUUAUCAGAGUUGAAAAAAUUUUUAUUUAAUUUAUAUAUUUUAUUAAAAUAAGAAUUUUAAUUUAAAAAAUUUAGAAAAAAUGAUAAAAUUAGUAUAAAUUAAAGUAUAGUUAUUAUAGUGUUAAAGGUUUUAUAAAGGAACUCGGCAAAUAUACUUUUCACCUGUUUAAUAAAAACAUGGCCUAUUGAUUAUAAUUUUAGGUCUGACCUGCCCAAUGAGAAGUUUAAUGGCCGCGGUAUAUUAACCGUGCAAAGGUAGCAUAAUCAUUAGUUUUUUAAUUGAAAGCUGGAAUGAAAGGUUUGAUGAAAAAGUUUCUGUCUCUAUAAAAAUUUAUUAGAAUUUUAUUUUUAAGUUAAAAAGCUUAAAUGUUUAUAGAAGACGAGAAGACCCUAUAGAGUUUUAUAUUUUAAAGUUAAUUGAAAUUAUAGGUGAAAUUAUUAAAUUAGCUAAAAAAAUAUUUUGUUGGGGUGAUAGAAAAAUUUAAUUAACUUUUUUUUUAUAGAAUCAUUAAUUUAUGAGUUUAUGAUCCUAGUGUAUAGAUUAUAAGAUUAAAUUACCUUAGGGAUAACAGCGUAAUUUUUUUUAGAGUUCUAAUCGAAAUAAAAGAUUGCGACCUCGAUGUUGGAUUAAAAUUAAUUGUUGGUGGAGAAGCUAAUAAAUUAGGUCUGUUCGACCUUUAAAAUUUUACAUGAUCUGAGUUUAAACCGGUGUGAGCCAGGUUGGUUUCUAUCUCUAUAAAUUUAAAGUUUUUUAGUACGAAAGGACCAAAAAUUUAAUUUAAAAUUUGAAAAAAGAAGAUUAUUAAUAUUUU